rnacentral:hammerhead_ribozyme from 1 species
GUCCAACUGACGAGUCCCAAAUAGGAUGAAACGAUCUUUCUGGAU